GCAUAUACAUUUUGGUAGCUUAUCUCAUCAGAACUUCACAGUUAAGCGUACUUGACUUGAAGUAAUACAGGGAUGGGUGACCUUCUGGGAAUUUUCCCAGAAAGUGUGCC
rnacentral:rRNA from 1 species